AGUCGAGCGGAAACGAUACCAGCUUGCUGGUAGGCGUCGAGCGGCGGACGGGUGAGUAAUACUUAGGAAUCUACCUAGUAGUGGGGGGUAGCUCGGGGAAACUCGAAUUAAUACCGCAUACGUCCUAUGGGAGAAAGGGGGCAACUUGUUGCUCUCGCUAUUAGAUGAGCCUAAGUCGGAUUAGCUAGAUGGUGGGGUAAAGGCCUACCAUGGCGACGAUCUGUAGCUGGUCUGAGAGGAUGAUCAGCCACGCCGGGACUGAGACACGGCCCGGACUCCUACGGGAGGCAGCAGUGGGGAAUAUUGGACAAUGGGGGGAACCCUGAUCCAGCCAUGCCGCGUGUGUGAAGAAGGCCUUUUGGUUGUAAAGCACUUUAAGCAGUGAAGAAGACCUAACGGUUAAUACCCGUUAGCGAUGACAUUAGCUGCAGAAUAAGCACCGGCUAACUCUGUGCCAGCAGCCGCGGUAA
rnacentral:rRNA from 1 species